GUGGGGAAUCUUGCGCAAUGGGCGAAAGCCUGACGCAGCCAUGCCGCGUGAAUGAUGAAGGUCUUAGGAUUGUAAAAUUCUUUCACCGGGGACGAUAAUGACGGUACCCGGAGAAGAAGCUCCGGCUAACUUCGUGCCAGCAGCCGCGGUAAUACGAAGGGGGCUAGCGUUGCUCGGAAUUACUGGGCGUAAAGGGCGCGUAGGCGGACAGCUUAGUCAGAGGUGAAAGCCCAGGGCUCAACCUUGGAAUUGCCUUUGAUACUGGCUGUCUUGAGUUUGGGAGAGGUGAGUGGAACUCCGAGUGUAGAGGUGAAAUUCGUAGAUAUUCGGAGGAACACCAGUGGCGAAGGCGGCUCACUGGUCCAUUACUGACGCUGAGGUGCGAAAGCGUGGGGAGCAAACAGGAUUAGAAACCCGUGUAGUCC
rnacentral:rRNA from 1 species